UGGAGAUGGUCUUAGAGCACAAUA
rnacentral:siRNA from 1 species